rnacentral:rRNA from 1 species
AUUGAACGCUGGCGGCAGGCCUAACACAUGCAAGUCGAACGAGUGGCGGACGGGUGAGAACUGUAUGGGAAACUGCCUGAUGGCGGGGGAUAACUACUGGAAACGGUAGCUAAUACCGCAUACCAUCAGAUGUGCCCAGAUGGGAUUAGCUAGUUGGUGGGGUAACGGCUCACCCAGGCGACGAUCCCUAGCUGGUCUGAGAGGAUGACCAGCCACACUGGAACUGAGACACGGUCCAGACGCGUACGGGAGGCAGCAGUGGGGAAUAUUGCACAAUGGGCGCAAGCCUGAUGUAGCCAUGCCGCGUGUAUGAAGAAGGCCUUCGGGUUGUAAAGUACUUUCAGCGGGGAGGCGUUACCCGAAGAAGAAGCACCGGCUAACUCCGUGCCAGCAGCCGCGGUAAUUC